GUAGAAGCGGCAGGUAGAAGCGGCGGGUAGCAGUGGUAGGGUAGCAGCGGUAGAGUAGCAGUGGUAGGGUAGCAGUGGUAGGGUAGAAACGGCAGGUAGAAGCGGUAGGGUAGGAGCAGCGGUAGGUAGAAGCGGUUGGUAGCAGUGGUAGGGUAGCAGCAGCGGUAGGGUAGAGGCAGCAGUAGGUAGCAGCAGUAGGGUAGCAGCAGUAGGGUAGCAGCAGCAGUAGGUAGCAGCGGCAGGUAGAAGCGGUAGGGUAGUAGCGUUAGGGUAGCAGCGCCAUGUAGAAGUGGUAGGGUAGAAGCAGCGGUUGGUAGCAGUGGUAGGGUAGCAGCAGCAGUAGGUAGCAGCGGCAGGUAGAAGUGGUAGGGUAGCAGCGGUAGGGUAGCAGUGGUAGGGUAGCAGCAGCGGUAGGGUAGAGGCAGCAGUAGGUAGCAGCAGUAGGGUUGCAGAAGUAGGGUAGUAUCAGCAGUAGGUAGAAGCGGCAGGUACCAGCAGUAGGGUAGAAGCGGUAGGGUAGCAGCGGCAGGUAGGAGCGGUAGGCUGAUACAGUAGGUAGCAGCAGUAUGGAGAUACAGUAGGUAGCAGCAGUAUGGAGAUACAGUAGGUAGCAGCGGUAUGGAGAUACAGUAGGUAGCAGCAGUAUGGAGAUACAGUAGGUAGCAGCGGUAUGGAGAUACAGUAGGUAGCAGCGG
rnacentral:lncRNA from 1 species